rnacentral:rRNA from 1 species
GAUGAACGCUGGCGGCGUGCCUAAUACAUGCAAGUCGAGCGAACAGACGAGGAGCUUGUUCCUCUGACGUUAGCGGCGGACGGGUGAGUAACACGUGGAUAACCUACCUAUAAGACUGGGAUAACUUCGGGAAACCGGAGCUAAUACCGGAUAACAUGUUGAACCGCAUGGUUCAACAGUGAAAGACGGUCUUGCUGUCACUUAUAGAUGGAUCCGCGCCGCAUUAGCUAGUUGGUAAGGUAACGGCUUACCAAGGCAACGAUGCGUAGCCGACCUGAGAGGGUGAUCGGCCACACUGGAACUGAGACACGGUCCAGACUCCUACGGGAGGCAGCAGUAGGGAAUCUUCCGCAAUGGGCGAAAGCCUGACGGAGCAACGCCGCGUGAGUGAAGAAGGUCUUCGGAUCGUAAAACUCUGUUAUUAGGGAAGAACAAAUGUGUAAGUAACUAUGCACGUCUUGACGGUACCUAAUCAGAAAGCCACGGCUAACUACGUGCCAGCAGCCGCGGUAAUACGUAGGUGGCAAGCGUUAUCCGGAAUUAUUGGGCGUAAAGCGCGCGUAGGCGGUUUUUUAAGUCUGAUGUGAAAGCCCACGGCUCAACCGUGGAGGGUCAUUGGAAACUGGAAAACUUGAGUGCAGAAGAGGAAAGUGGAAUUCCAUGUGUAGCGGUGAAAUGCGCAGAGAUAUGGAGGAACACCAGUGGCGAAGGCGACUUUCUGGUCUGUAACUGACGCUGAUGUGCGAAAGCGUGGGGAUCGAACAGGAUUAGAUACCCUGGUAGUCCACGCCGUAAACGAUGAGUGCUAAGUGUUAGGGGGUUUCCCCCCCUUAGUGCUGCAGCUAACGCAUUAAGCACUCCGCCUGGGGAGUACGACCGCAAGGUUGAAACUCAAAGGAAUUGACGGGGACCCGCACAAGCGGUGGAGCAUGUGGUUUAAUUCGAAGCAACGCGAAGAACCUUACCAAAUCUUGACAUCCUCUGACCCCUCUAGAGAUAGAGUUUUCCCCUUCGGGGGACAGAGUGACAGGUGGUGCAUGGUUGUCGUCAGCUCGUGUCGUGAGAUGUUGGGUUAAGUCCCGCAACGAGCGCAACCCUUAAGCUUAGUUGCCAUCAUUAAGUUGGGCACUCUAAGUUGACUGCCGGUGACAAACCGGAGGAAGGUGGGGAUGACGUCAAAUCAUCAUGCCCCUAUGAUUUGGGCUACACACGUGCUACAAUGGACAAUACAAAGGGUAGCGAAACCGCGAGGUCAAGCAAAUCCCAUAAAGUUGUUCUCAGUUCGGAUUGUAGUCUGCAACUCGACUACAUAAAGCUGGAAUCGCUAGUAAUCGUAGAUCAGCAUGCUACGGUGAAUACGUUCCCGGGUCUUGUACACACCGCCCGUCACACCACGAGAGUUUGUAACACCCGAAGCCGGUGGAGUAACCUUUUGGAGCUAGCCGUCGAAGGUGGGACAAAUGAUUGGGGUGAAGUCGUAACAAGGUAGCCGUAUCGGAAGG